rnacentral:sRNA from 1 species
UUAGUGAGGCCUUCUGACUGGCGCCGAUGCUCUGGCAACAGAGCGCCGGAUGCCGGAAAGUUGGUCAAACUUGAUCAUUUAGAGGAAGUAAAAGUCGUAACAAGGUUUCCGUAGGUGAACCUGCGGAAGGAUCAUUACCGAUGUAAUCCAAAGGCACGACUCCGUCGUGACUACCGUGUGAACCGUACCAAACUAUUCAGGGGUCGGCAAGUCCGUUAAAUGGCGGUCGGACGCGUGCAUUGCGCGGCCGCUCCGCCAGCCCCGCCUGUGUUUUUUUAACAUACGUGUCUUGUCUGAAAAAGUGGCCACUGCCGUGGUCGACAGCAAAGAAAAAGAGAGACAACUUUUGACGGUGGAUCUCUUGGCUCACGCAUCGAUGAAGAACGCAGCCAGCUGCGAUAAGUAGUGUGAAUUGCAGAAUUCAGUGAAUCAUCGAAUCUUUGAACGCAAAUGGCGCUCUUGGGUUCUCCCAGGAGCAUGUCUGUCUGAGUGUCGGAUAUCAUCCAACGCACCUGAUCGUGCGGCGUUGAGGCGUCACGGCCCUUCUUGCGCGGCCGUGUCCCUUGAAAGUCAGUGAGACUCGCCGCGGCACGGGUUCGUUCCCUGCACACUCGCGGAGGCUAAAAACGCUUUUGCCCUUCGCGUGCACGGGAGCGACCCGCCCGCCGAGUCGCGGAGGCGAACACUAUUCAAUUCUUGACCUCAGAUCAGGCA